UACGAAGGGGGCUAGCGUUGUUCGGAAUUACUGGGCGUAAAGCGCACGUAGGCGGAUAUUUAAGUCAGGGGUGAAAUCCCAGAGCUCAACUCUGGAACUGCCUUUGAUACUGGGUAUCUUGAGUAUGGAAGAGGUAAGUGGAAUUGCGAGUGUAGAGGUGAAAUUCGUAGAUAUUCGCAGGAACACCAGUGGCGAAGGCGGCUUACUGGUCCAUAACUGACGCUGAGGUGCGAAAAGCGUGGGGAGCAAACAGGG
rnacentral:rRNA from 1 species